CUCACUGUGGACUCAAUGUGGGCUCUAUCUCGAGGCGUCAAAUCCUAACAAUCUCCACCUCGACUCGAUAUUCGGCCUCCUCCAAACUUUGAGAGCUUUUGGAUCUCCUCGCCCCCAUGUCCUGGGGCAAUCGCCUGCUGAUCAUGGAUGGGCAAACAUGGGAGUCGAGCCAGGCUGCUCGAUCCCAUCUCCGUCGUAUGCUGUGCUCCUCCUAACCUGAGACCUGCUCGGGGCAUCAUCCUGCGGCAAUAGGAAUCUCACCUUGCGACGUCGCCUCUCGUCCUCCCGAGUCUCCUGUCUCGUACCCGAUCCGCCUCCUGGAGCUCCACCUCGCUCCGGGCUCCGCCUGGCUCUCGAAGCUCCACCUCGCACUGGGCUUCUUGUCAGGUAAUAAUGUCCUCUACUCCCCUUCUUCCCCUCCAGCACAAUCCUAUCGCCGCGUAGCACCCUCAGGAUUCCUCCACCAGCUACCGUCCUGUAGCCUCUCGAAUCCAAU
rnacentral:lncRNA from 1 species